rnacentral:ncRNA from 1 species
UAAAGGUUUGGUCCUAACUUUACUAUCAACUUUAUCUCAAUUUACACAUGCAAGUCUCCGCACACCUGUGAGAAUGCCCUCAACCUCCCGCCCGGAGAAGAGGAGCCGGUAUCAGGCACAAAAUUUUAGCCCAAGACACCUUGCUAAGCCACACCCCCAAGGGAAUUCAGCAGUGAUAAACAUUAAGCCAUAAGCGCAAGCUUGACUUAGUUAGAGAUAAGAGGGUCGGUAAAACUCGUGCCAGCCACCGCGGUUAUACGAGAGACCCAAGCUGAUAUGCACGGCGUAAAGAGUGGUUAUGAACAGAUAAUAACUAAAGCCGAAAACUUUCUAAGCUGUUAUACGCACCCGAAAAGUUGAAGUCCAAUAACGAAAGUAGCUUUACUACCCUCUGACCCCACGACAGCUAAGACACAAACUGGGAUUAGAUACCCCACUAUGCUUAGCCAUAAACUUAGAUGAUGCUAUACAGCUACAUCCGCCAGGGAACUACGAGCGCUAGCUUAAAACCCAAAGGACUUGGCGGUACCUCAGACCCAUCUAGAGGAGCCUGUUCUAGAACCGAUACUCCACGUUAAACCUCACCACUUCUUGUUAAUACCGCCUAUAUACCGCCGUCGUCAGCUUACCCUGUGAAGGACCUAUAGUAAGCAAAAAGAAUAAAAUCCAAAACGUCAGGUCGAGGUGUAGCGUACGAAGUGGGAAGAAAUGGGCUACAUUUUCUAUUACAGAAUAUACGGAAAAUACACUGAAACAUGUAUUCGAAGGUGGAUUUAGUAGUAAAAAGAAAACAUAGUGUUCUUUUGAACUCGGCUCUGAGGCGCGCACACACCGCCCGUCACUCUCCCUAACAAACACUACAACUGUAAUUAACACAUUAAUAAAUUCAAGGGGAGGCAAGUCGUAACAUGGUAAGUGUACCGGAAGGUGCACUUGGAACAAU